UGUCUAUGAAAAACGACAGAGUAACGGGCUGAAAUUUAUGGAGCCCAGCCGGGCAGCAGACAGAGGCAGAGGGGUCGACGGCAGGAGCUGAGAUCAGAGCCCUUGUACUAACAACUUUAUCAAUAAAAAACUCCUGAAAGUUGACGCACAGUUCGAUGGAUGCUUCCUGGCAAACCGGCUUGGGAGCAUUUAAAACUGAGUCAGUGGUAUUAAAUAAAACUCGAGGGUUGUGGCGGUUUGACUCAAUGACUCCAGCUAAGUGAGCCCUUUUGGCUUCCUUAACCACAGUCUGAUAGUCUCUCCAGCGGUCUUUUAAAAUUAAAAACGACACUUGCAGCUUGUCCUUCUUCCAGCUGCGCUCAGCUCUACCACACUCCCUCCUCACUGCUCCAGUUGCGUCGUUGAACCAGGGCUCCAGUUUUGCUCUACGAUGUGCAGUCUUUAAAGGAGCCACGGAGUUCAGAACACCUUGACAGAAUAGAAUGGAACCAUGAGCUGAGUUCCUCUGUAUCCAUAGAGGAUAAACUAGAGGGGACGCAGAGCUGAUUAAAAGCAGCGGAGAAGCGACCGGCAGAGAGAGAGUUAAAAACCCGACAGUACCGAGCAGGAGCGCUGGAUUUAAGACCAGCACACGGAAAGCUGACAUUAAAAAUCACAGGCUUAUGAUCAGAGAAUACGUUAUCACCGAUCUCAAUAUUCGACACAGACAAUCCAUAAGACAGAACCAGGUCUAACGUGUGUCCGUGUUCAUGUGUGGGACCCGACACACACUGAACCACAUUAAAAGAGGCAAUAAGACUUAGAAAGUCCUUCACCAGCCGCUUAUCGGGACAGCACACACGAAUAUUAAAAUGCACAAUAUUUCUCCUGUCUGGAUUAAAUUUCAGAAAUACAGUUUAGAUUUACUAAAUAUUCCAGGAAUUCUUGCUCUCAGUUUGACCAUAGAAAUGAACUUGUUGUUGAGGCAGUUUGUGUUUGAGUUUUUCUGCCUCGAGCUUCAUCACCAGUGAUGUUCAGGACUCAUUCUUGUAUUUUACACUCUCUGAUGUUUUCUUUUCUUCAUGUCUAGUGUGUGAAUCAUUUCUGGUUUGUCUCUUCAGUGUCUCAUGUGGCCCUGCAGCUUCUCCUCCUCCACCUCCUCCUGAAGCCUUCAUCUUCUUCAUCAUCAGCUGCUCAGUGACUCUGUUGGACGUCUCACCGUGUGGCAGCAGCUCAGGAGUUUGCAGUCAACCAAGGCCGACUCAGAAUCACUCCCACCGGGAAGAUCUGUGAAGGAAGGUCCACCCGGCUGGUCCAGAAGCUCCGGUCCAGCAGAGCAGCGUCAGGAUGGAGACGUAACCGGGUGAGUUAACUAGAGAGGCGACACAUUCACAUAGAAAAUCCAACAAUUCCUUCUGUUUUUACAGUUUGUGACUCUGGUAAAUGGUGUCAUUUUUCAAAGCUGGUGGGUUUUGGGCUUCACAGAUUGAACCUAAAUGCUUUUCUUAAACAAACUGCUGAGCUGCUGCACAGUGAAAUGUUUGAGUGGAGCUCAGGAUGAAAGCAUCAGAGCUGUUUUACAUGUUUUUAUGUUCAGCUAAUAUCAUUUCCUCUGGACAAUGUUUGUGGUGUUAGAAGUGGACGUUUGUAGGGAGUUUUCAGUUGUGAUACUUUAAUGCAUAAAUAUUUGCAGUGGUGGUUUCACUGCAAGCAUCUACUGAUGUCACCAGUGAAGUAAAUAAAAACAGCAUUUGUUGAACUUUA